rnacentral:misc_RNA from 1 species
GAUGAAGAACGCAGCGAAAUGCGAUAAGUAGUGUGAAUUGCAGAAUUCAGUGAAUCAUCGAGUCUUUGAACGCACAUUGCGCCCCCUGGUAUUCCGGGGGGCAUGCCUGUCCGAGCGUCAUUGCUGCCCUCAAGCACGGCUUGUGUGUUGGGCCCCGUCCUCCGAUUCCGGGGGACGGGCCCGAAAGGCAGCGGCGGCACCGCGUCCGGUCCUCGAGCGUAUGGGGCUUUGUCACCCGCUCUGUAGGCCCGGCCGGCGCUUGCCGAUCAACCCAAAUUUUUAUCCAGGUUGACCUCGGAUCAGGUAGGGAUACCCGCUGAACUUAAGCAUAUCAAUAGCGGAGGA